UGGUGGAGUGAUUUGUCUGCUUAAUUGCGAUAACGAACGAGACCUUAACCUACUAAAUAGUUACGUGAACCUUGGUGUUCGCGGCCAACUUCUUAGAGGGACUAUCGCGUGCUUUAACCGAAGGAAGUUUGAGGCAAUAACA
rnacentral:rRNA from 1 species